AUGGUGGCCGAGCCGCUGGUGCACAAGGUGCUCGCCAUGGCCACCGCCACCCUCUCCAACAAGAAGGCCGGCAGGAAGGGGGACAGGGACGGCGCCGGCGGCAGGGUCGGCAUCCUGUCCUUCGAGCUGGCCAACGCCAUGUCGCGCGCCGCCAGCCUCCACCGCUCGCUCUCCGCCGCCGAGGCCGCCCGCCUGCUCGGCCCGCUCUGCCUCGGCUCCCACGCCGUCCGCGCGCUCGUCCCGGGCGACGACGCGCGCCUCCUCGCCCUCGCGCUUGCCGAGAAGCUCGACGCGCUCAACCGCGUCGCCGCCGUCGCCGCGCGCCUCGGCCGCCGCUGCGCCGCCCCGGCGCUCCAGGGCUUCGACCACGUCUACGCCGACCUCCUCGCCGGCCGCUCCCCUGCCUCGGCCUACCCCUUCUUCGCCCCCGCGUCUCAGUCCGAGGCGCAGCUCCUCCGGCAGCUCGACCGCCUCGCGUCCGCCACGGCCGCGCUCUACGCCGAGCUGGACGCGCUCGCCGACCUCGAGGAGUCGGCCCGCAAGCUCCCCACCGACGAGGCCCGCCGCGCGCUCCUGCAGCGCGCCCGCUGGCGGCGCCAGGACGCGCGCCGCCUCCGCGACGCCUCGCUCUGGGGCUGGACCUACGACAAGGCCGUGCUCCUGCUCGCGCGCGCCGUCUGCGCCGUCUACCACCGCAUCUGUCUCGUCUUCGGCGACCCCAUGCGCGGCCUCGACCUCCUCCUUGUCAGUGACGACCACAAGGACCGAGAGCACCAGCAGAGCAGCCAAUGCCACGACCAGAGCAGCCGGCAGCUCUUCUCCGGCCCGGUCACCUCCGCCAAGUCGGGACCGAUUAUUGACAGGCUCGCCGGCGACGCGGACCCGCCACAUCCAAGUCGGCUCCGGUCGAACUGCGGGGGGAACAUGUUCAUGGAGUGCCUGAGCCUGAGCAGCUCGGCGACAUGGAAGGACGACGACGGGCUGGACGAGGACGACGAGUCCUUCUUCUCCGGGGACGCGAGCAGCUGCAUCAGCGCGAUCAGGUCAGGGAUGCUGGUGGCGCCGCCGUCCAGCGGCGGCGAAGAGCACGACGCAGCCAAGAACGGCGCCGAGAGCAGAAGGAGGAGGUCUCACUCCCGCCGGCGGUUCGGGCCGAAGAGCACGGUGACCUCGCUGGCCCCGGCGUCGACGGUGGGCGGCUCGGCGCUGGCAUCACACUACGCCAACAUCAUCAUGAUCGUGGAGAAGCUGCUGCAGUACCCGCACCUGGUGGGCUCGGAGGCGCGCGACGACCUCUACGGGAUGCUGCCGUCGAGCCUCCGAUCCUCCCUCCGGAAACACCUCCCGAGGAACCUGGGCAUCUACGACGCGUUCCUGGCGCACGACUGGCGGGAGGCGCUGGAGAAGACGCUGGCCUGGCUGGCCCCCAUGGCGCACAACAUGAUGCGGUGGCAGGCCGACCGGAGCGUCGAGCAGCAGCAGAUGGAGGCCGUGCAGCAGCUCAGGGGCGGCAAUGGCAAUGGCAAUGGCAAUGUGCUGCUGCUGCAGACCUUGUACUUCGCCGACCGGGACAAGACGGAGGCGGUGCUCUGCGAGCUGCUGGUGGGGCUCAACUACAUCUGCCGCUACGAGCAGCAGCAGAGCGCGCUGCUCGACUGCUCCAGCAGCAUCGACUUGGACGACUGCACCGUGGAGCAGUGGCACGCCUCCAUGCAUCACUAG
rnacentral:rRNA from 1 species